rnacentral:rRNA from 1 species
UUAAGUUAACAAGGGCGCAUGGUGAAUGCCUUGGCACUAGGAGCCGAUGAAGGACGGGACUAACACCGAUAUGCUUCGGGGAGCUGUACGUAAGCUAUGAUCCGGAGAUUUCCGAAUGGGGCAACCCAGCAGUUUUAAUCAACUGUUACCACUAGAUGAAUUCAUAGUCUAGUUGGAGGUAAACGCUGUGAACUGAAACAUCUCAUUAGCAGCAGGAAUAUAAAGAAAUUUCGAUUCCCUAAGUAGCGGCGAGCGAACGGGGAACAGCCCAAACCAAAGUGCUUGCACUUUGGGGUUGUAGGACUGAACAUUUGAGUUACCAAAGAACUUGAUAGUCGAAGGAUUUGGGAAAAUCCGCCAUAGAUGGUGAUAGCCCAGUAGAUUAAAUCAAAUUCUCUCAGUUCAGGAUCCUGAGUACGGCGGAACACGUGAAAUUCCGUCGGAAUCCGGGAGGACCAUCUCCCAAGGCUAAAUACUACCUAGUGACCGAUAGUGAACCAGUACCGUGAGGGAAAGGUGAAAAGCACCCCGGGAGGGGAGUGAAAUAGUUCCUGAAACCAUGUGCCUACAAUAAGUCAGAGCGCGUUAAUGCGUGAUGGCGUGCCUUUUGUAGAAUGAACCGGCGAGUUAUGAUCCCGUGCAAGGUUAAGACUAAAAAGUCGGAGCCGUAGCGAAAGCGAGUCUGAAAUGGGCGUUUUGAGUACGAGGUUAUAGACCCGAAACCAGGUGACCUAUCCAUGUCCAGGUUGAAGGUGCGGUAAAACGCACUGGAGGACCGAACCCGUGUAAGUUGAAAAUUGCUGGGAUGAGGUGUGGAUAGCGGUGAAAUUCCAAACGAACUUGGAGAUAGCUGGUUCUCUCCGAAAUAGCUUUAGGGCUAGCCUCGGAAUUAGGAUCAUGGAGGUAGAGCACUAUUUGGACUAGGGGCCCGUCUUGGGUUACUGAAUUCAGAUAAACUCCGAAUGCCAUUGAUUCAUAUCCGGGAGUCAGACGAUGAGUGAUAAGAUCCACCGUCGAAAGGGGAACAGCCCAGACCAUCAGUUAAGGUCCCUAAAUGUAUGCUAAGUGGAAAAGGAUGUGGAGUUGCAUAGACAACUAGGAUGUUGGCUCAGAAGCAGCCACCAUUUAAAGAGUGCGUAAUAGCUCACUAGUCGAGUGAUCCUGCGCCGAAAAUGUACCGGGGCUAAGCAUACUACCGAAACCAUGGAUGCGACCAUUAGGUCGCGUGAUAGGAGAGCGUUCUAAGGGCGGUGAAGCAAGAUCGUGAGGACUUGUGGAGCGCUUAGAAGUGAGAAUGCCGGUAUGAGUAGCGAAAGAUAGGUGAGAAUCCUAUCCACCGAAUGACUAAGGUUUCCUGGGGAAGGCUCGUCCUCCCAGGGUUAGUCGGGACCUAAGUCGAGGCCGAGAGGCGUAGACGAUGGAUAACAGGUUGAGAUUCCUGUACUAGUUAAGUGCGUUUGAGCAUGGAGGGACGCAGGAGGCUAAGAUGUGCAUUCUGUUGGAUUAGAAUGUCCAAGCAGUAAGUCUUGUGAAGAGUCAAAUGCUUUUCACUUUAAGGACAAGCUGUGAUGGGGAGCGAAAUUUAGUAGCGAAGCGUCUGAUGUCACACUGCCGAGAAAAGCUUCUAGUGAGUACUUAACUACCCGUACCGCAAACCGACACAGGUAGUCGAGGAGAGAAUCCUAAGGUGAGCGAGUGAACUCUCGUUAAGGAACUCGGCAAAAUGACCCCGUAACUUCGGGAGAAGGGGUGCUGAUCGCAAGAUCAGCCGCAGUGAAUAGGCCCAGGCGACUGUUUAUCAAAAACACAGGUCUCUGCAAAAUCGUAAGAUGACGUAUAGGGCUGACGCCUGCCCGGUGCUGGAAGGUUAAAAGGAUGGGUUAGCUUCGGCGAAGCUCAGAAUUGAAGCCCCAGUAAACGGCGGCCGUAACUAUAACGGUCCUAAGGUAGCGAAAUUCCUUGUCGGGUAAGUUCCGACCCGCACGAAAGGCGUAACGAUCUGGGCACUGUCUCAACGAGAGACUCGGUGAAAUUAUAUUGUCCGUGAAGAUGCGGACUACCCGCGACAGGACGGAAAGACCCCAUGGAGCUUUACUGUAGCUUGAUAUUGAGUGUUUGUACAGCUUGUACAGGAUAGGUAGGAGCCAUAGAAACCGGAACGCUAGUUUCGGUGGAGGCGUUGGUGGGAUACUACCCUCGCUGUAUGACCACUCUAACCCGCACCACUAAUCGUGGUGGGAGACAGUGUCAGGUGGGCAGUUUGACUGGGGCGGUCGCCUCCUAAAAAGUAACGGAGGCGCCCAAAGGUUCCCUCAGAAUGGUUGGAAAUCAUUCGCAGAGUGUAAAGGCACAAGGGAGCUUGACUGCGAGACAGACAGGUCGAGCAGGGACGAAAGUCGGGCUUAGUGAUCCGGUGGUACCGUAUGGAAGGGCCAUCGCUCAACGGAUAAAAGCUACCCUGGGGAUAACAGGCUUAUCUCCCCCAAGAGUCCACAUCGACGGGGAGGUUUGGCACCUCGAUGUCGGCUCAUCGCAUCCUGGGGCUGUAGUCGGUCCCAAGGGUUGGGCUGUUCGCCCAUUAAAGCGGUACGCGAGCUGGGUUCAGAACGUCGUGAGACAGUUCGGUCCCUAUCCGUCGCGGGCGUAGGAAAUUUGAGAGGACCUGUCCUUAGUACGAGAGGACCGGGAUGGACAUACCUCUGGUGUACCAGUUGUGCCGCCAGGCGCAUCGCUGGGUAGCUACGUAUGGAUGUGAUAAACGCUGAAAGCAUCUAAGUGUGAAACACACCUCGAGAUGAGAUUUCCCAUUCCUUUAUGGAAGUAAGACCCCUGAAAGAUGAUCAGGUAGAUAGGUUAGAAGUGGCAGUGCGGUGACGCAUGAAGCGGACUAAUACUAAUCGGUCGAGGACUUAACCAA